rnacentral:rRNA from 1 species
GUGAGGAAUAUUGAGCAAUGGGCGAAAGCCUGACUCAGCAACGCCGCGUGGGCGAUGAAGGCCUUCGGGUCGUAAAGCCCUUUUCUGAGGGACGAGAAAGGACGGUACCUCAGGAAUAAGUCACGGCUAACUACGUGCCAGCAGCCGCGGUAAUACGUAGGUGGCCAGCGUUAUCCGGAAUCACUGGGCGUAAAGCGCGUGUAGGUGGUUCCGUAAGUCGGACGUGAAAUCUCCUGGCUUAACUGGGAGGGGCCGUUCGAUACUGCGGAUCUUGAGGUCGGGAGAGGGACGUGGAAUUCCCGGUGUAGUGGUGGAAUGCGUAGAUAUCGGGAGGAACACCAGUGGCGAAGGCGGCGUCCUGGCCCGCACCUGACACUCAGACGCGAAAGCGUGGGGAGCGAACGGGAUUAGAAACCCCGGUAGUCC